rnacentral:rRNA from 1 species
CCUACGGGCGACAGCAGUGAGGAAUAUUGGUCAAUGGACGCAAGUCUGAACCAGCCAUGCCGCGUGCAGGAAGACGGCUCUAUGAGUUGUAAACUGCUUUUGUACGAGGGUAAACGCAGAUACGCGUAUCUGUCUGAAAGUAUCGUACGAGUAAGGAUCGGCGAACUCCGUGCCAGCAGCCGCGGUAAUACGGAGGAGUCAAGCGUUAUCCGGAUUUAUUGGGUUUAAAGGGUGCGUAGGCGGUCGGAUAAGUUAGAGGUGAAAUUCCGAGGCUCAACUUCGGAAUUGCCUCUGAGACUGUUCGGCUAGAGAGUAGUUGCGGUAGGCGGAAUGUAUGGUGUAGCGGUGAAAUGCUUAGAGAUCAUACAGAACACCGAUUGCGAAGGCAGCUUACCAAGGUACUUCUGACGUUGAGGCACGAAAGCGUGGGGAGCAAACAGGAUUAGAUACCCUUGUAGUC